rnacentral:lncRNA from 1 species
AUGGCCGUGUUGUGUUUUGUGCUCCAUCACGCCCUAAGCACUCCACAGUGCUUUGCUGCAUCACCAUCUCAGCCAUUGAACCUUCUUGUUGGUUUCUUCCACCUGUUCCACCGAAGCAGUCUUCAUAUGCUGGCCUUAGUUCCUGAAGUAAGAAUUUACCUCUACCUACAAGGAAGUGAUGUCCAUGUUAAUACCCAAGACGGGAAAUGUGUGCCCAGAAGAUUAGGCUCAUUGUGUGUAUCUGGACGCUUUCCACCAGCUUUGUUUAUGGGACAUAUUGUUUUUCUGAAGUUGUUUGCUCCUGUGCUUCUUGCUUGCAGAUCUCAUUGGGCUUUCUUGGCUACAAAGACGAUCAGGAUUACUGGUAGUCUUGAGUCCUGGCAGGAAGGACCUACUUAAAAGAAGUUCUCAGGGGACUCAGCAAGAGGCUGACAGGACAAAGGUCAAGGAUGGCUCACCAUCCCAUACCCCAAGAUUGUGGGGGUGGGUUUUAUUCAGUGAUUUUGGCUUAUUCAUUUAUUUCUCUGUUUUCCUUUUAAAUAAGAUCCUCAACUGAGUCUACUUUCCUGGCUCCUUGCUGCUGUAAUGUUUUGGGUUGGUUUAUAUACUCAAUGUCAGUUUACCUCUGCACACUUUCAUUUGUAUUUCUGGAAUUUUGAUGAUGAUGACGAUGAUUUUGUUGUUGCUCUGUCAGGAGCAUCAGAAGCCAAAUAAUAUUAGCCUCUGUGUGCCCAUUUGGUCCAAAUAACUUAACAGAUGGUGCCUGAAUAUUCUGUGGUUAACACCCUCCUCUCAGAAACUUACAGGCAUUUCUCUUCGGGUGGUCCCACUUUGUUGUCCCAAGCAGGAGAACUCAUUGUCUCUGGCACACUGUUUGUAUGCCAACUACUAGCAUGUGCUGUUUUAUUAUUAUCCCAGCCACCUACCCUCCCAUCCAGACUGUACCAUCAACCACAUUUACUCCCCACCCUUCCUUAGCCUCCAGUAGCUCUGGGCCACAGCUUAGACAGAAACGAGUACAUACAGAAGGGAUUAAGUCAUCUUCUUGGAAUGUCAGGGAACCCCCCCCUUUUUUUUAAUAAAACCUUACCUUCCAUCUUGGAAUCA